CUCGGGACAUUUGUUUUAUAGUGUAUGGUAGAGGGAACCUUGGGUCUUCCAUUAGUAUGUUUCUUCGCCAUCCUCAUUAUAAUUAUGAUGGUUGGGGAGUUCCAUGCACAGUGCCACAAUGGUUUGGAAAAGGAGAUCUGGGAUUAGCUCCAAAUUUGUCAGAGUCUACCAUGUGUUGAGCGUCGAUAGGCCUUGUAUCGUGUCUCACAAAUCGAUCUAGGUAGUUUGUUUUGAAGGCUGUGUGACAAUGAGUUGUGCGAUUCAAGGGCCUUAAUGCGUGUGGUUUUUAAUGCUCGCAGCUUCCAAAAAUGAUAUUUUGCCAU
rnacentral:lncRNA from 1 species